rnacentral:rRNA from 1 species
AACGGUAACAGGAAACAGCUUGCUGUUUCGCCUGACGAGUGGCGGACGGGUGAGUAAUGUCUGGGAAACUGCCUGAUGGAGGGGGAUAACUACUGGAAACGGUAGCUAAUACCGCAUAACGUCGCAAGACCAAAGAGGGGGACCUUCGGGCCUCUUGCCAUCGGAUGUGCCCAGAUGGGAUUAGCUAGUAGGUGGGGUAACGGCUCACCUAGGCGACGAUCCCUAGCUGGUCUGAGAGGAUGACCAGCCACACUGGAACUGAGACACGGUCCAGACUCCUACGGGAGGCAGCAGUGGGGAAUAUUGCACAAUGGGCGCAAGCCUGAUGCAGCCAUGCCGCGUGUAUGAAGAAGGCCUUCGGGUUGUAAAGUACUUUCAGCGGGGAGGAAGGGAGUAAAGUUAAUACCUUUGCUCAUUGACGUUACCCGCAGAAGAAGCACCGGCUAACUCCGUGCCAGCAGCCGCGGUAAUACGGAGGGUGCAAGCGUUAAUCGGAAUUACUGGGCGUAAAGCGCACGCAGGCGGUUUGUUAAGUCAGAUGUGAAAUCCCCGGGCUCAACCUGGGAACUGCAUCUGAUACUGGCAAGCUUGAGUCUCGUAGAGGGGGGUAGAAUUCCAGGUGUAGCGGUGAAAUGCGUAGAGAUCUGGAGGAAUACCGGUGGCGAAGGCGGCCCCCUGGACGAAGACUGACGCUCAGGUGCGAAAGCGUGGGGA